rnacentral:rRNA from 1 species
UACGUAGGGGGCAAGCGUUGUCCGGAUUUAUUGGGCGUAAAGAGCGUGUAGGCGGCUUUGCAAGUCCGUUGUGAAAACUCGAGGCUCAACCUCGAGACGCCGGUGGAAACUGCAAAGCUAGAGUCCGGAAGAGGAGAGUGGAAUUCCUGGUGUAGCGGUGAAAUGCGCAGAUAUCAGGAGGAACACCCGUGGCGAAGGCGGCUCUCUGGUACGUGACUGACGCUGAGACGCGAAAGCGUGGGGAGCGAACAGG